GGAUCUUGGUCCUAUUUUGUUGGUUUCUAGGGCUAAGAUAAUGAUUAAUAGGGACAAUUGGGGGCAUUCGUAUUAACGCGUCAGAGGUGGAAUUCUUGGAUUGCGUUACGACGAACUACUGCGAAAGCAUUUGCCAAGGAUGUUUUCAUUGAUCAAGAACGAAAGUAAGGGGAUCGAAGAUGAUUAGAUACCGUCGUAGUCUUUACCAUAAACUAUGCCAACUAGAGAUGGGGCUGCGGUUUAUUUAUGACCCGCUCCGCACCUUAUGAGAAAUCAAAGUCUUUGGGUUCCGGGGGGAGUAUGGUCGCAAGGCUGAAACUUAAAGGAAUUGACGGAAGGGCACCACCAGGAGUGGAGCCUGCGGCUUAACUUGACUCAACACGGGAAAACUCACCAGGUCCAGACAUAGUAAGGAUUGACAGAUUGAUAGCUCUUUCUUGAUUCUAUGGGUGGUGGUGCAUGGCCGUUCUUGGUUGGUGGAGUGAUUUGUCUGCUUAAUUGCGUUAACGAACGAGACCUUAACCUGCUAAAUAGUACUACCUUACUUCGGUAAAGUAGCCUACUUCUUAGAGGGACUUUGCGUGUUUAUCGCAAGGAAGUUUGAGGCAAUAACAGGUCUGUGAUGCCCUUAGAUGUUCUGGGCUGCACGCGCGCUACACUGAUGCGUUCAACGAGUGUACAUCCUUGCCCGUUAGGGUUGGGUAAUCUUUUGAACACGCAUCGUGAUGGGGAUAGAUUAUUGCAAUUAUUAAUCUUCAACGAGGAAUUCCUAGUAAUGGUGAAUCAUCAGUUCAUCGUGAUUACGUCCCUGCCCUUUGUACACACCGCCCGUCGCUCCUACCGAUUGAGCAAACCGGU
rnacentral:rRNA from 1 species